UACGUAGGGUGCGAGCGUUGUCCGGAAUUAUUGGGCGUAAAGAGCUCGUAGGCGGCUUGUCGCGUCGGAUGUGAAAGCCCGGGGCUUAACUCCGGGUCUGCAUUCGAUACGGGCAGGCUAGAGUUCGGUAGGGGAGUGUGGAAUUCCCGGUGUAGCGGUGAAAUGCGCAGAUAUCCGGAGGAACACCGGUGGCGAAGGCGGCUUCCUGGACCGACACUGACGCUGAGGCGCGAAAGCUAGGGGAGCAAACGGG
rnacentral:rRNA from 1 species